rnacentral:rRNA from 1 species
UCCUUUAUAUUAAAAAUUUUGAUACUUAAGUAGUACUGAUAUAAUAUCAACUUAUAUUUUAUCUGAAACUUAAAAGGCUUGGCGGUGUUAUAUAUCCUUCCAGGGGAGUUUGCUUAUUAAUUUGAUAAUCCUCAAUUUAUACUCACUUUUUCUAGAAAUAACAGUUUGUAUAUUGCUGUCGUCAGUUUAUUUCGUAAGAAUAAAGGAAAAAACUUAAUAAUGAAUCAAUUAUAAUGUCAAGUCAAAAUGCAGCAUAUGGAGAAGGUUUAAAGUGAGCUACGAUUUAUGAUAUCUAAUCAGAUUACGCUGUGUAAUUAGUGUAUGAAGUUGGACUUGGUAGUAAUAAGAAUUAUUAUUAAAUAGUGUGUUCUAGUGAAACAGGUUUUAUAAUGCG